rnacentral:rRNA from 1 species
UACGGAGGGAGCUAGCGUUGUUCGGAAUUACUGGGCGUAAAGCGCGCGUAGGCGGCUUUGUAAGUUAGAGGUGAAAGCCCGGAGCUCAACUCCGGAACUGCCUUUAAAACUGCAUCGCUUGAAUCCAGGAGAGGUGAGUGGAAUUCCGAGUGUAGAGGUGAAAUUCGUAGAUAUUCGGAAGAACACCGGUGGCGAAGGCGGAUCUCUGGGCCUUGCCUGACGCUGAGGCGCGAAAGCUAGGGGAGCGAACAGG